GGAGGGCAAGUCUGCGUCAUGGCUCACCUAGAACAGUUAUACGUUUACUUGAUAGUCAAUCGUUAUACGGAUAACUGCGGUAAUUCUGGAGCUAAUACGUGCACAAAGACCUGACUUCAAGGAAAGGUCGUGUUCAUUAGAUACAGAACCAAUCCCUUCGGGGUUUUUGGAUGAUUCAUAAUGAAGGAACGGAGCGUACGACUUGUGUCGACGCUGUUUCAUUCAAGUUUCUGACCUAUCAGCUUCCGACGGUAGGGUAUUGGCCUACCGUGGCAUUGACGGGUAACGGAGAAUUAGGGUUCGAUUCCGGAGAGGGAGCCUUAAAAACGGCUACCACAUCUAAGGAAGGCAGCAGGCGCGCAAAUUACCCAAUCCUGAUACAGGGAGGUAGUGACAAGAAAUAACACAGAGAGCGCUUAUUGCGUUUCUCUUUGGAAUGAGUAGAAUUUAAAUCUCUUUUC
rnacentral:rRNA from 1 species